UCUGAAUCUGCGNACGGCUCCGCAAACCAGUUGUAAGCUAUAGCAAGCAUGCCUGGGUUCCCUUCACGGGGAGCUUGGGCGAUACGGAUAACCCUGGUAAUUCUGAGGCUAAUACGAGAUCGUACAACCUGGCUGACCGGGCAACUGGAAGGCUGGGAGGUGUGUGAUUUAGCACGAGGAAUCUGCUGGGAAUAGACACAUGCCUGGACCGCGCCAAAAACAGAUGGGGUUUCCCGCAAGGGUGGCCCUGCCUGAGCGGCUCUUGCUUUGUGCUUCUGACCUAUCAACUAGACGGCAGCGUAAUGGACAUGCUAUGGUACAACGGGUACAGAGG
rnacentral:rRNA from 1 species